rnacentral:rRNA from 1 species
AUGACUAUCCAGAACAUAGAGGAUGAACUUUCUGUGCAGGUUUAUGAGUAUCAUGCAAGACUUGCGUUGUGCAAUCAAGAUAUGGCUGAACUUAACUUGUGCCUCACGAAGCUGCACUGCCUCUACGGGAAUAAGCGGAAUGGUGGCCAUCAGGGUGAAUUUGCAGCUUAUGAUAUAUUACUGUCUGCGAUUCAAGAUAAAAAUACUGAACUGAUGUCGAAACUAGGAAGGCUGUCAAGCGACUUGAAACAGCAAGAAGCCGUGAAGCAUGCCAAAGAAGUGGCACACAGUAUACAGACAAGAAAUUAUGCAUCAUUUUUCAAACUCUACAAGGUGGCUCCAAACCUCAAUGGCUACCUGAUGGGUAUCUGCUUUGAGAAGAUGAGAUUUGAAGGUUUAAAAUGCAUGGCAAAGGCCUACGCAACCAAGAUACCUGUCAAAUACAUAUCCAAAAUCUUAGGUUUUGCUGCAAUUGACGAAAGUGCCAAUUGGCUUAAAAGUCAUGGUGCUGUUUUAUCAUCCUUCGAGAAUGGGGAGAUGGCUUUACUGCCAAAGGACUCUACAGCUCUCAUCUCUACACCAGUUGUUCCUGCUGAUGGUAUUCGUGCUUUCCAAGCCCGCUGA